rnacentral:sRNA from 1 species
GCUGGGUGUGGUGGUGUACACCUGUUGUCCCAGCUACUGGGGAGGCUGAGGCAGGAGGAUCACUUGAGCCCAGGAGUUUGAGGUAGCUGUGAGCUAGGCUGACACCAUGGCACUCUAGCCUGGGCAACACAGUGAGACUUUGUCUCAAAAAAAGAAAAAGAGAAAGAGAUGGGGCCUCAUUCUUUCACUCAGGCUGAAGUGCAGUGGUGCCAUCAUAGCUCACUGCAGCCUUGAACUCCUGGACUAAAGCAGUCCUCUGCCUCA